rnacentral:misc_RNA from 1 species
CAACAAGCGAAAGGAGGUGGUCCAGUGUCUGCAGAGGUAUUGGAGCGAGGUGUCGGAACAGUUCGGGAGGUCAUCGCCUAGGGCAGCCCCGAGGCGGAAGCGAAACCCGAAUUGGUGCGCCUAACCGGCCCACCUCCGUAACUUCCAGAGGGCCGUUCCGGGAUCGGGGCGGCCC